rnacentral:rRNA from 1 species
UACGUAGGGGGCAAGCGUUGUCCGGAAUCAUUGGGCGUAAAGCGCGUGUAGGCGGUUCGGUAAGUCUGCUGUGAAAGUCCAGGGCUCAACCCUGGGAUGCCGGUGGAUACUGUCGGACUAGAGUACGGAAGAGGCGAGUGGAAUUCCCGGUGUAGCGGUGAAAUGCGCAGAUAUCGGGAGGAACACCAGUGGCGAAGGCGGGUCUCUGGGCCGAUACUGACGCUGAGGAGCGAAAGCGUGGGGAGCGAACAGG